rnacentral:rRNA from 1 species
GGAGAGUUUGAUCCUGGCUCAGAAUGAACGCUGGCGGCGUGGAUUAGGCAUGCAAGUCGAACGCGAAAGCGGGUAUUUAUAUCCGCGAGUAGAGUGAUAACAAUCCUAACGGAUUGCUAAUACCGCAUAACAUUACUGAGUGCAUGCUCAGUAAUCAAAGGUGGCCUCUGCUUGCAAGCUGUCGCUUGAGGAUGGUCCCGCGUCCCAUUAGCUUGUUGGUAGGGUAACGGCCUACCAAGGCGACGAUGGGUAGCCGGCCUGAGAGGGUGACCGGCCACACUGGGACCAGCAGUCGAGAGGCUUCGGCAAUGGGGGAAACCCUGACCGAGCGACGCCGCGUGGGUGAUGAAGUCCUUCGGGACGUAAAGCCCUGUCAUACGGGAUGAAAGGCCGAUUGGUGAAUAGCCUUUUGGUUUGACAGUACCGUAAGAGGAAGCUCCGGCUAACUCCGUGCCAGCAGCCGCGGUAAUACGGGGGGAGCGAGCGUUAUUCGGAUUCACUGGGCGUAAAGGGUUCGUAGGCGGUCAGGUAAGUCAGGGGUGAAAUCCAAC